rnacentral:rRNA from 1 species
GACAGAGGUGCCGAGCGUUAGGCGGAAUCACUGGGCUUAAAGCGUGUGUAGGCGGACUUCUAAGUACCUUGUGAAAUCCCACGGCUCAACCGUGGAACUGCUUGGUAUACUGGUUGUCUUGAGCCACUUAGGGGCAGUCGGAACAGACGGUGGGGCGGUGAAAUGCGUAGAUAUCGUCUGGAACGCCAACGGUGAAAACAGACUGCUGGGAGUGUGCUGACGCUGAGACACGAAAGCCAGGGGAGCAACCGGG